AAAGGAAUAGACGGGGGCCCGCACAAGCGGUGGAGCAUGUGGUUUAAUUCGAUGCAACGCGAAGAACCUUACCAGGGUUUGACAUCCUCUGACAUACAUGGAAACAUGUACUCGUCCUUCGGGGCGCAGGGAGACAGGUGGUGCAUGGCUGUCGUCAGCUCGUGUCGUGAGAUGUUGGGUUAAGUCCCGCAACGAGCGCAACCCUUGUCCUAAGUUGCCAGCGAGUAAAGUCGGGAACUUUUAGGAGACCGCCGGCGACAAGCCGGAGGAAGGUGGGGAUGACGUCAAGUCAUCAUGCCCUUUAUGCCCUGGGCGACACACGUGCUACAAUGGCCGGUACAGAGGGCGGCGAAAGCGCGAGCUGGAGCGAAUCCCCCAAAACCGGUCCCAGUUCGGAUCGCAGGCUGCAACUCGCCUGCGUGAAGUAGGAAUCGCUAGUAAUCACGGGUCAGCAUACCGUGGUGAAUACGUUCCCGGGCCUUGUACACACCGCCCGU
rnacentral:rRNA from 1 species